ensembl:lncRNA
GUGUUGUCUCUCUUUAUGUAGUGUUGUUGUCUCUCUGUAUGUCGUGUUGUUGUCUCUCUGUAUGUAGUGUUGUCUCUCUGUAUGUCGUGUUGUCUCUCUGUAUGUCGUGUUGUCUCUCUUUAGGUCGUGUUGUCUCUCUUUAGGUCGUGUUGUCUCUCUUUAGGUCGUGUUGUCUCUCUCUGUCGUGUUGUCUCUCUUUAUGUAGUGUUGUCAUCUCUAUGUAGUGUUGUCGUCUCUCUUUAUGUAGUGUUGUCUCUCUUUAUGUAGUGUUGUCUCUUUAUGUAGUGUUGUUGUCUCUCUUUAUGUAGUGUUGUGUUGUCUCUCUUUAUGUAGUGUUGUUGUCUCUCUUUAUGUAGUGUUGUCUCACUUUAUGUAGUGUUGUCCCUCUGUAUGUCGUGUUGUCGUCUCUCUUUAUGUAGUGUUGUCUCUCUUUAUGUAGUGUUGUGUUGUCUCUCUUUAUGUAGUGUUGUUGUCUCUCUUUAUGUAGUGUUGUUGUCUCUCUUUAUGUAGUGUUGUUGUCUCUCUUUAUGUAGUGUUGUGUUGUCUCUCUUUAUGUAGUGUUGUUGUCUCUCUUUAUGUAGUGUUGUCGUCUCUAUGUAUGUAGUGUUGUCGUCUCUAUGUAGUGUUGUUGUCUCUCUUUAUGUAGUGUUGUCUCUCUUUAUGUAGUGUUGUUGUCUCUCUUUAUGUAGUGUUGUUGUCUCUCUUUAUGUAGUGUUGUGUUGUCUCUCUUUAUGUAGUGUUGUCUCUUUAUGUAGUGUUGUGUUGUCUCUCUUUAGGUCGUGUUGUCUCUUUAUGUAGUGUAGUGUUGUCUCUAUGUAGUGUUGUCUCUCUUUAUGUAGUGUUGUGAUGUCUCUAUUUAUGUAGUGUUGUUGUCUCUCUUUAUGUAGUGUUGUGUUGUCUCUCUUUAUGUAGUGUUGUUGUCUCUCUUUAUGUAGUGUUGUCUCUCUGUAUGUAGUGUUGUCUCUCUUUAUGUAGUGUAGUGAUGUCUCUCUUUAUGUUGUGUUGUGGUGUCUCUCUUUAUGUAGUGUUGUCUCUCUUUAUGUAGUGUUGUCUCUCUUUAUGUAGUGUUGUCUCUCUUUAUGUAGUGUAGUGUUGUCUCUCUUUAUGUAGUGUAGUGUUGUCUCUAUUUAUGUAGUGUUGUCUCUAUGUAGUGUAGU